GGAUGAAUUCCCACAGGAAGCAGGGAGGCUGCCCUUCAGCCAUGAGAGAGCCUGACAAAAUAAGAGUGUGGGCUAGGAAGAGGGUGUUCCAGGGAGCAGACAAGCUUAACUAAGCCCUGGAGACAGAAGGGUGCCCUACAGGGCUGGCGGGGGCGGGAGGGGGGAGCUACUGGUGUAAGGCGCCAGGCCUAGCAGGGGAGGGGACAGCUCCAGCGGACCUGACUUAACUGGGGCGAUGAAUGCAGCGGAGCCUAACGGCCCCUUCUAGGGAGACGAUAAUUAUUCAGAUCAGCCUGGUGAUUUACUCGGCAAUCAGAGCCGCUCGAUGCGGUGGCCGCGGAGCCGAGACAGACGAACAUCGCCAAGGAGGAUGAGACCGGGGGCUCAGUCCCCUCCCUCCCCCUCGCCCGCCCGGCCUUUGUUCUCUUCGAGGUCUGCACCCGCGCUGCUGGCCCACAGUGGAUGCGCCCAGCCGCACGGACACAGCAGCGACCUCGGGGGCUGGAGAGCAAGUGUACACAGGCGUGUGCCUCGGGGAGGGACUAUGGGGGCACGUGCUGUGUUUGCAUGCUUGUAUGUAUAAGGGGAAGGCGAUGGAGUAUACCAGUAGAAGCACCGCUGUCAGGUGUGCAAUCGGGAUGUGUACACCUGUUUGCCUACCAGGGCCUGGGCACAGCUGUCACUGCUGGCUUGUUUAAAUGUGUGAUAGACAGGUU